AGUCAGUGCCAGUUUGAGAAAGAGGAAGGAAAGACAAUCAAGUUGGCCACGCACUCAGUGCAUCCAUCCUCUUUAGUUGCAAAAGAUAUGUUAACUAAAGCUGUGAGACAACAUUGUGCCAACAGCAAAAUGAGCCAAACGGACCUUUCACAGUCCAGGUUGCGCCCGGGGACCUCAUCUCACAUUUUAAUAUAAGAUUUGAGUGGGCGUAUUGUGAGUCUCUGUGACUGUCUGAAUCACCAUACAGGAGAGAGGCACAAAGCAUCAAGAGCUGCUUUUCUACAGAAAUUGUUAUACCCCUCCCAAAAGAGCAUCAAUGCCAGAGAGGCGAUGGGUGGAUCUUACAACUGAAAACUCCCUGCAUCUGGAUUGAGAAACCAUCAACAAAAGGACUAAAACCCUUGUUGUUCUGCUGUCCUCCCCGGGAAGAUAAACCAUGCAAGUGGAUUCCCAUUCAUCAGCUGAGUUUGCAGAGCAUGUGGCAGGAGGGGAAUAAAACCCGCAAACAGAAGGACCUAGGUUACAUCUUCAUGGCCAAGAUCACAAUAUCCCAGGAGGCAGGUUCUACUGUGUUCAGGACACUGCCCAAUACAGGAAACAACAGAGACUAUGACGGAACAAAAGCGCCUCUCAAAAGACAUCAAACCUAAUAAAUAUGAACUUUGACCAUUAUAUUGUCUGUGGAAGAUAUUUCAGCAAGAAUGAAAAAAUGUGGAAUACGAUUAUACUGAAUUAGAAUGUCUAGCAGCUUUCUGUGAAUUUGUGGAUGUCCAUUUGAGGCAAUAGAAAUAGCUGCCUGCCAGACAAACUUAGAAAAUGGAGUAUAUGAAAAUCCCUUAAUCCCACUUGUUAUAUUCUUAUAUAUAGCUGAUAUAAGCAAGUAUAGCAGGUAUACAGGCUCAACAAAAUGGAGUUAA